rnacentral:rRNA from 1 species
GAGUUUGAUUCUGGCUCAGAUUGAACGCUGGCGGCAUGCUUUACACAUGCAAGUCGGACGGCAGCACAGAGAAGCUUGCUUCUUGGGUGGCGAGUGGCGAACGGGUGAGUAAUAUAUUGGAACGUACCGAGUAAUGGGGGAUAACUUGCCGAAAGGUAAGCUAAUACCGCAUACGCUCUGAGGAGGAAAGCAGGGGACCUUCGGGCCUUGCGUUAUUCGAGCGGCCAAUAUCUGAUUAGCUAGUUGGUGGGGUAAAGGCCUACCAAGGCGACGAUCAGUAGCGGGUCUGAGAGGAUGAUCCGCCACACUGGGACUGAGACACGGCCCAGACUCCUACGGGAGGCAGCAGUGGGGAAUUUUGGACAAUGGGCGCAAGCCUGAUCCAGCCAUGCCGCGUGUCUGAAGAAGGCCUUCGGGUUGUAAAGGACUUUUGUCAGGGAAGAAAAGGUUGUGGCUAAUAUCCAUGACUGAUG